AGCGGCGGAUGGGUGAGUAACACGUGGGGAACCUGCCCCUAAGUCUGGGAUACCAUUUGGAAACAGGUGCUAAUACCGGAUAAUAAAGCAGAUCGCAUGAUCAGCUUUUGAAAGGCGGCGUAAGCUGUCGCUAAGGGAUGGCCCCGCGGUGCAUUAGCUAGUUGGUAAGGUAACGGCUUACCAAGGCGACGAUGCAUAGCCGAGUUGAGAGACUGAUCGGCCACAUUGGGACUGAGACACGGCCCAAACUCCUACGGGAGGCAGCAGUAGGGAAUCUUCCACAAUGGACGCAAGUCUGAUGGAGCAACGCCGCGUGAGUGAAGAAGGUUUUCGGAUCGUAAAGCUCUGUUGUUGGUGAAGAAGGAUAGAGGUAGUAACUGGCCUUUAUCUGACGGUAAUCAACCAGAAAGUCACGGCUAACUACGUGCCAGCAGCCGCGGUAAUACGUAGGUGGCAAGCGUUGUCCGGAUUUAUUGGGCGUAAAGCGAGUGCAGGCGGUUCAAUAAGUCUGAUGUGAAAGCCUUCGGCUCAACCGGAGAAUUGCAUCAGAAACUGUUGAACUUGAGUGCAGAAGAGGAGAGUGGAACUCCAUGUGUAGCGGUGGAAUGCGUAGAUAUAUGGAAGAACACCAGUGGCGAAAGGCGGCUCUCUGGUCUGCAACUGACGCUGAGGCUCGAAAGCAUGGGUAGCGAACAGGAUUAGAUACCCUGGGUAGUCCAUGCCGUAAACGAUGAGUGCUAAGUGU
rnacentral:rRNA from 1 species